ensembl:lncRNA
ACCCUGGGCAGUUGCUUGGCUGGAUCUUAUUAAUCCAGCUCUGACUGAAAUCUAGGCAUCUGGGCAUAUCUGGAAGACUAAAGGGACAGGCUUCCAGGAGACUAUUUGCAUGAAGGGCCAAGAAAGGCCAUGGAAGAAAGGAUUACUGGAAAAAGAAGCAUCCUAAUGAGUCAGACCCACAAACUUGUCUCAGCACCUCCCAUUUUCUAGUGGCAGCUCCAUUUGCCCUAGGGACCUUCGGAAUAUUCCCUGACUUCUCCUGCUUCCUCUCCUGAUCCAGAAUGCGGCUCUGGCACUGAGGAGUAGUGAGCUCGGUGCUCUUCACCACAGGUACCAGCAGCAGAACAUCAGGGGACCCGUGGAGACCAGAGAAGGAGAGGAGGAGCAUGGAGGAUGUCACGUGGGACUUGGACGGACUUGUUGAUGAGCACAGGUCCCCACUGUUCCUGGGCAUCCAGAACUCAGGGAAGACCAGCCAGAGGUACUGGACAGAUACAUAUGCGGAAUUGAUGUACCUGGAGUUUCCACCUUUGUCAUAGCAAAUUUCCAUAUACACAUGAGUCUGUUCCUGGCUUCUUUUUUCUAUCACUGCGGCAAUACCACAACGCAUUGCCUGCCGUAGCAUCACAGUAAGUCUUGAUUUCAAGCAGAGAAAAUCUUUACCCUUUCUUCUUCAAGAGAGUGUGAGUUAUCCUUGGGCCACUGCAUUCCCAUAUAAAUUCUAGAAUGAGUCUGUCAAAUUCCACCAGAAAUUCCCAACAUACCCUUGGAAUUUUCACUGAGAUUGAAUUGAAUUCAUAGAUCAAUUUCAGGAAAAUAUACAUUUUUACAGCAUCAAGUCUUCCUAUUCAUCAGUAUUGUAUACCCCACUCCAUUUCAGUUCAGUUCAGUCACUCAGUUGCAUCCGACUCUUUACGACCCCAUGAACCGCAGCACACCAGGCCUCCCUGUCCAUCACCAUUUAUUUAAGCAUUUAAUUUUUCUUAAAAAUGUUUAUAGCUUUUCCUAUGUAAAUCUUACAUGUCAUUUUUAGAUUUAGAACUAGAAAGUUUUUAUAUUUUUUGUUAUAUUUUUUUAAAUUUCAUAUUCUAAUUCUGCUGCUGAAAAAUAGAUAAGCAAACGAUUGUUUUUUGUUAGCAAUCUUGCUAAUUUUCCCUAAAA